CCUACGGGAGGCAGCAGUAGGGAAUCUUUCACAAUGGGCGAAAGCCUGACGCAGCAACGCCGCGUGCAGGAUGAAGGCCUUAGGGUUGUAAACUGCUUUUAUCAGCGAGAAAUAUGAUGGUAACUUAUGACUAAUGAUUGGCUAACUCCGUGCAAGCAGCCGCGGUCAUACGUCGGAGCCGAGCCUUAUCCGGAGUGGCUGGGUGUAAAGAGGUGCGUAAGUGGUAUAAUAAGUAGCUAGGGAAAUCUGGUGGCUUAACCAUUCAGACUAUUAGCGAAACUGUUAAGCUCGAGACCGUUAGGGGUAACUGGAAUUUCUGGUGUAGGAGUGAAAUCCGUAGAUAUUAGAAGGAACACCAAUAGCGAAGGCAGGUUGCUGGGACGGUACUGACGCUGAGGCACGAAAGCGUAGGGAGCAAACGGGAUUAGAUACCCUAGUAGUC
rnacentral:rRNA from 1 species